rnacentral:rRNA from 1 species
ACAUGCCUACAACAUGGAGUUAAUGCAGAAGAUCCCAUUAGAACUCCACAGUUAAGCAUGCUUAGGAGUAGUACUAGGAUGGGUGACCGCCCAAGAAGUCCUAGUGUUUUACAUGCC